rnacentral:hammerhead_ribozyme from 1 species
AUCCAACUGACAAGUCUCAAAUAGGACGAAACGCGCGUCCUGGAU